CACAGGUUCCGCAGCAGCUGAAGAAUCCCAGUAGUGGCUGCACGCGAAGCGCUUGGUGUCCAUCUGUUGCUGACUUUGACUAGACCCCACUAAACACUCAGAGUGGAUGAAGAAAGAUGUGGAAUACUGAGGAAGGGGCAGAACUGAAGACAACAUUGUCCUGGCUCUGGACAUAUAAUUUUGUUUAACCUUCAAGUCAAGCCAAGGAUCCUCUGGUGUGCAAAUCACGACAGUGGAAUGAUGCAAUGGGGCAUAUGGACAAUGAAUCAG